GGGGGACCGAGUGGGGUCUUCGGGCCCCGUGAGGAACCCCUGGGGGGUGUAGAGCAGCCGGGACUCCGGCGCGAAGCUCUGUGAGCCAGUGCACUCUGCGCUGGGCAGACCCGGCUCAGGCAGGCAGAAGCACAAAGCUCCUGCCAGCACCAAGCAGCAGCCCUCGGUCACCAUGGCACUGCUGAAGAGGGCCAGGAAGCACCUGCAAGAGCCCAUCAAGUCCUCCAUGGUGCGAGACCAGACGCCGACCUUCAUCUGGAG